CGCCUCAUGGCUGAAAGGCCGACGGUGACGAACCGGAGCGAGAAGUCAGCAGAGGCCAUAGUAGCUCCCGGCAUGGGGCGAAGGGC
rfam:Candidatus Accumulibacter sp. SK-11 contig000005, whole genome shotgun sequence.